UUAGAGCUGGAGUCUGAGACCCCUCUCUUUACAGGCCUGUCUCCUUCAUCCAGAGAGCAGCUAACCCCUUUCUUCCCAGAGCAUUAAUACUGUCUCAGGGCAGGAAGGAAAAUAGGACACUGAGUGAUUUCCUCCUUUCUCAGCAGUGUCCUCUCCUCACUAGCAGCCACAUCAAAACACCUCCCUGGGCAGUGGCAGGUAAGAGAGGUGACAGUCAGCAAGCUGGCCAGAGUUUGCUGCUCGGGUCUUAUCUCCUCAAUGGAAAGCGAGGGCAGGUCAGCUGGAAGCACCAGCAAGUCAUGUAGUGGCACCCAGAGUGCUGCAGCUGGACCCCCACAUACCUGCACUUGGACAAAGGCAUGGGUGAUGGCUUGAGCAGAAUGCUCAGCAGAAACCCUGCCUGAUGCGGUGGCUUUGACAAUGUUGCCAAGUCGCUGAGAUUCCUUACAGAUUCAUAAUAUUUGUUGAUAUGAAAUGCUCAGUCUGUUCUUAAAAACAAGACAACCAAUGCCGCAAACAAAAACAAAUUUUAUCAAGGAGAGAAAGCUGGCAAAUGCAAGCCAUGAAGUCUGAGUCUCCAGACCUAAAGAUUUGUUUACCAGCAGGAUCCAAAGUUAACUGAGGAAUAACCAUGGUGCAGCAGAUGGGCAUCCAGCCUCAGCCCAUGCCUCCCUGCUGCUUCCCUGCCAGAAGAAGAAGAUCCCCUGGUGAGAUGUUAACUGCUGCCCUGGGACUCCUCUUCUGACACUCCAACCUCCAGUACGAUCCAAAUGCUGAGAAAGGGCUGGUAUCUACCACUCAAAAAAGGCUCAAGCUACAAUGAAGAAGAGAUGAAAUCCAAUUAAGUUUUUGGUAAGUACUUAAACGAUAGAAAUUAACAACUGAUACAUAAUACAAGUUAUUAUGCUGAAGUACAAGAAAUUUAUGAAGGGAGAAAUAGAAGCAUAUAUAUUUAUGAUGUUUUCAAGAAGUUGUUGAAAAAUAUUCUAGUGUUUCAGUUACAGCUUUGUCUAGAUACACCAAACUGAAAUAAAAAUGCAAUGUUCUUUCUUCAUAUUUGAUGAUACAUUCACAGUUAGGAGGAAAAGAAGAACAUUAUUACUCAGGUUUAAGGGAUCUGAAUAAGGACUGUUAAAACUAUUUCAUCUAUCUAAUGGAAUACCUUUGACAAGAAAAAUUAUUUUCUAAAAGAAAAUAGUGCAGAUAUGGCUAUUACUGGCUGAGAUCAUCUCUUCUGUUCUCAUGACCUUAGAUGGCUGUUUGUUAUGAUGCGUGAGUAGCCUAGUCCUUAAGUCUCUUUCAGAACAUCCAACCUAAUUCUCCCUUACUGCAUUUUGGUCUGUUAUACUUCCUUCUCUUUAGUGUGUUUACAUAUUUAAAGACUUAACUCAUGUCUUCCCUCAGCUCUUCAUAUUUUUUUUUUCCCCACAGAGAGACCUCUGGUCUUUUCUCAGUUGCUCCACAACUUAACUCAAAAAAUGUGUCCAAAAAUAAAUGUAUAAAAUAAGCUCAAUAGAUAAUAGUUAUUUCUUAUCUUAAAUGUGUCUCUUCAUACAUACAUCCCAGUGUAUUCUACUUGUUUUAGUAGCAUACUUUUGUUGUUGUUGUUAACUGAGCCUGUGAUCCACAGCAAUUCCAAUCCCUUUUCUUAGAAAUGGGAUAAUGUAAACUAGUAGCACUGACCGACUUCAGUCUUUUUGCUACUAUGCCAUUCUAAAACUGUUUGACACAAUGUCAGUUGAAUGUUCAGGCUCACAAUUUUAACAAAGUUUGUCUCUGUAUGUCGUAUUCAUAUGUUGAGUUGUUUACAUAAACUGUUAGAGCUAAAACCACCUACUGCCUACAAGAUACUACCUAGAUUGAAAUUUCAUGGCCAUCUACUGUUUAGACAUAGGGUAGUCUCAAUAAAUAAGGCAAAUAAUGCCAUGUGGAAUAAGUGCAAAUAAUGCGC